UACGAAGGGGGCUAGCGUUGCUCGGAAUCACUGGGCGUAAAGCGCACGUAGGCGGCUUUCUAAGUCAGGGGUGAAAUCCUGGAGCUCAACUCCAGAACUGCCUUUGAUACUGGAGAGCUUGAGUCCGGAAGAGGUGAGUGGAACUCCGAGUGUAGAGGUGAAAUUCGUAGAUAUUCGGAAGAACACCAGUGGCGAAGGCGGGUCUCUGGGCAACAACUGACGCUGAGGAGCGAAAGCGUGGGGAGCGAACAGG
rnacentral:rRNA from 1 species